GUCGAGCGGAGUUGAUGGAAAGCUUGCUUUCCUGAGACUUAGCGGCGGACGGGUGAGUAACACGUAGGCAACCUGCCCUCAAGACUGGGAUAACUACCGGAAACGGUAGCUAAUACCGGAUAACUCGCGCUGCUGCAUGGCAGUGUGAUAAAAGACGGAGCAAUCUGUUACUUGAGGAUGGGCCUGCGGCGCAUUAGCUAGUUGGUGGGGUAACGGCCUACCAAGGCGACGAUGCGUAGCCGACCUGAGAGGGUGAUCGGCCACACUGGGACUGAGACACGGCCCAGACUCCUACGGGAGGCAGCAGUAGGGAAUCUUCCGCAAUGGGCGAAAGCCUGACGGAGCAACGCCGCGUGAGUGAUGAAGGUUUUCGGAUCGUAAAGCUCUGUUGCCAGGGAAGAACGUCCUCAAGAGUAACUGCUUGAGGAGUGACGGUACCUGAGAAGAAAGCCCCGGCUAACUACGUGCCAGCAGCCGCGGUAAUACGUAGGGGGCAAGCGUUGUCCGGAAUUAUUGGGCGUAAAGCGCGCGCAGGCGGCCAUUUAAGUCUGGUGUUUAAGCCCGGGGCUCAACCCCGGAUCGCACGGGAAACUGGAUGGCUUGAGUG
rnacentral:rRNA from 1 species